rnacentral:tRNA from 1 species
GGGAAGGUAGCUCAGUGGUAGAGUGCUUGUCUUGAAUAUAUGAGGUCCUGAGUUCGAUUCCUCAGCACCA